UGCAUACAUUUGCUAAACUCUGCAGUUAAAGUAUUCAUUUUAAACGAAGUGAACAUAUUUGCUAGUGGAUGUAUGCAUUCACGGACUGCUUCUAGUCAAAGUGGGAAGUGGGUUAAAUUUACCGGGAAACCUAAAACCUAACCUCUUUAUUCGUGCUGCACCGUUUGCUGUUUGUUGUUUUUCCGUUUGAGAUUCUUGUCAUAAAUAUAAAAUGGAUAAAGAAGCGAUGAAAGUUAAAUUCUACGAAUAUAUUAACAAUACUCCACAAAAAGUUAAAGGCUUUCGUAUGACUGCGGAAAGAUAUACAAAACUAAUAAAUGAUGUUAAAUCCGCUAAAUCUGCUCAGAAAAAAGAAAAUGGUCACUUCUGGUUACUAAAACAUUAUGAUAUAGUGUAUGUAUGUAAUGUGGAUAAACUAAUUGCACCAAUAGCAAAUGAAAAAGUGCUAUAUUAUGUUACUGUUGAAGAAUUGUUUGAAGUUUUAUAUGAAACUCAUUUAUCAAUUGGACAAGGUGGACGAGAUAGAAUGAAAAAGGAACUUAACCUUCGCUUUAAAAAUAUAACAGCACAAGAUAUUCAAACAUUUUUAAAUAAUUGUGAAGGGUGCCUUAAAAAAAGGGCGAAUGAAAAGAAAGGCUUGGUGGUUAAGCCAAUGGUGUUUUCUCGUUUUAAUUCAAGAUGUCAAGUAGAUUUAAUUGACUUCCAAUCACAGCCAGAUGAUAAAUUUAAAUUUAUAUUGGCAUACCAGGUGCACUUAACAAAGUUUGAUGAAAGAUGAUAAUGAAGUUGCUGAUCAACUUCGAAUUUUUUUACUAUUUGGGGCACCAUCUACACCAAUACUACACCACAAAUAGAUGUGCACGCCUUAAAUCAAAAAAAUUGUGCAAUUCCAAAUGCCAUGGAAGUUUGAAUUGUUCAAACAAAUAAAGUGUUUUUCUUAUUUAUAAA